rnacentral:rRNA from 1 species
GGUUUGAUUAUGGCUCAGAUUGAACGCUGGCGGGAUGUUUACACAUGCAAGUCGAACAGCAGCCUGGACUUCGGUCUGGUGGCGAAAUUGGCGAACAGCGAACGGUAAUGUCGGAACGUGCCUAGUAGCGGGGGAUAGCUACGCGAAAGCGUAGCUAAUACCGCAUACGCCCUUCAGGGGAAAACGGGGACCUUCGGGCCUCGUACUAUUAGAGCGGCCGAUAUCGGAUUAGCUAGUUGUUGAGGUAACGGCUCGCAAGGCGACGAUCCGUAGCUGGUUUGAGAGGACGACCAGCCACACUGGGAUUACCAGACUUACGACCCGAACUCCUACGGGAGAACAACGGUGAAAUUUUGGACAAUGGAAGCGAUCCAGCCAUCCCGCGUGUGGUGAAGGCCUUCCGGUUUGUAAAGCACUUUUGGCAGGAAAGAAACGGCACAGGAUAAUACCCCGUGCAACUGACAAACACCUGCAGAAUAAGCGCCGGCUAACUGCGCAGCAGCCGCGGUAAUACGUAGGGUGCAAGCGUUAAUGGAAUUACUGGGCGUAAAAGCGUGCGCAGGCGGUUGGAGAAGAAGAUGUGAAAUCCCAGAGCUUAACUUUGGAACUGCAUUUUUAACUACCGAGCUGAGAGAGUGUGUCAGAGGAGGUGGAAUUCCGCGAUGUGUGGUAUUACGUAGAUAUACGGAAGAACACCGAUGGCGAAGGCAGCCCUCCUGGAUAACACUGGUACGCUCAUGCAGAAAACAUUAGAACAAACAAGUUAGAUACCCUGGUAGUCCGCUAAACGAUGUCAACUAGCUGUUGGGGCCUUCGGGCCUUGGUAGCGCAGCUAACGCGUGAAGUUGACCGCCUGGGGAAGUACGGUCGCAAGAUUAAGAAAACUCAAAGAAUUGACGGGACCCGCACAAGCGGUGGAUGAUGUGGAUUAAUUCGAUGCAACGCGAAAACCUUACUACCCUUGACAUGUCUGAAUCCCGAAGAGAUUUGGGAGUGUAGAGAACAGGAACACAGGUGCUGCAUGGCGCCGUCGGCUCGACAUCAUGAGAUGUUGGGUUAAGUCCGCAACAGGCCUGUGUGUCAUUAGUUGCUGCGAAGGGCACUCUAAUGAGACUGCCGGUGACAAACCGGAGGAAGGUGGGGAUGACGUCAAGUCCUCAGCGAAGCACUUAUGGGUAGGGCUUCACGUCAUACAAUGGUCGGGACAGAGGGUCGCCAACUGCGAGAGGCCAAUCCCAGAAACCCGAUCGUAGUCCGGAUCGCAGUCUGCAACUCGACUGCGUGAAGUCAGGAAUCGCCAGUAAUCGCGGAUCAGCAUGUCGCGGUACGGAAUACGUUCCCACGGUGUACCGCCCGUCACACCAUGGGAGUGGGUUUUACCAGAAGUAGUUAGCCUAACCAUCAAGGAGGCGAUUACCACGGUAGGAUUCAUGACUGGGGCAAGUCGUAACAAAGGUAG